rnacentral:rRNA from 1 species
AGGCUACUGCUAUCGGGAUUCGAUUAAGCCAUGCGAGUCGAGAGGGUUCGGCCCUCGGCUGACGGCUCAGUAACACGUGGAUAACCUGCCCUCAGGUAGGGGAUAAUCUCGGGAAACUGAGGAUAAUACCCUAUAGACAUCCUUUGCUGGAAUGCUUGGAUGUUCAAAGGCGACGCCUGAGGAUGGGUCUGCGGCCUAUCAGGUAGUAGUGGGUGUAACGGACCCACUAGCCUACGACGGGUACGGGCCUUGAAAGAGGUAGCCCGGAGAUGGACUCUGAGACACGAGUCCAGGCCCUACGGGGCGCAGCAGGCGCGAAAACUUCGCAAUGCGGGAAACCGUGACGAGGGAAUCCCGAGUGCUCAUACAAUGUAUGGGCUUUUAUGAUGUGUAAAAAGCAUUAGGAAUAAGGGCUGGGUAAGACCGGUGCCAGCCGCCGCGGUAAUACCGGCAGCUCUAGUGGUAGCCACUUUUAUUGGGCCUAAAGCGUCCGUAGCCUGUCAAGUAAAUCCUUGGGUAAAUCGUACAGCUUAACUGUGCGGCUUCCGAGGAGACUGCUUGACUUGGGACCGGGAGAGGUUGGAGGUACUCCUGGGGUAGGGGUGAAAUCCUGUAAUCCUAGGUGGACCACCGGUGGCGAAGGCGUCCAACCAGAACGGCUCCGACGGUGAGGGACGAAGGCUAGGGGCGCAAACCGGAUUAGAUACCCGGGUAGUCCUAGCUGUAAACGCUGCAGACUUGGUGUUGGAGAUCCUACGAGGGUGUCCAGUGCCGGAGAGAAGUUGUUAAGUUUGCCGCCUGGGAAGUAUGGCCGCAAGGCUGAAACUUAAAGGAAUUGGCGGGGGAGCACCGCAACGGGAGGAGCGUGCGGUUUAAUUGGAUUCAACGCCGGG